UCUCCUGGAAACGGGUGGUAAUGCCGGAUGUUCCACAUGAGCGCAUGCGAGUGUGGGAAAGGCUUUUUGCGGCAUGGGAUGGGGUCGCGUCCUAUCAGCUUGUUGGUGGGGUAACGGCCUACCAAGGCGUUGACGGGUAGCCGGCCUGAGAGGGCGACCGGCCACAUUGGGACUGAGAUACGGCCCAGGCUCCUACGGGAGGCAGCAGUGGGGAAUAUUGCACAAUGGGCGCAAGCCUGAUGCAGCGACGCCGCGUGCGGGAUGGAGGCCUUCGGGUUGUAAACCGCUUUUGUUCAAGGGCAAGGCACGGUUUCGGCCGUGUUGAGUGGAUUGUUCGAAUAAGCACCGGCUAACUACGUGCCAGCAGCCGCGGUAAUACGUAGGGUGCAAGCGUUAUCCGGAUUUAUUGGGCGUAAAGGGCUCGUAGGCGGUUCGUCGCGUCCGGUGUGAAAGUCCAUCGCUUAACGGUGGAUCCGCGCCGGGUACGGGCGGGCUUGAGUGCGGUAGGGGAGACUGGAAUUCCCGGUGUAACGGUGGAAUGUGUAGAUAUCGGGAAGAACACCA
rnacentral:rRNA from 1 species